UAAUACUGUAAAUUACUGUAAUAGUUGGUUCUUCUUCGCCAUCUUCUCUCAUCAGUAGAGAGAGAUAGACAGAGACUGAAGGGAGGAGCCUUAAGAUAUCUUUGGUGGUGGUGGUGUUUCUCUAAUGCUUGAAGAAGAUAGGGGUGGAAGGUAUCAAAUAACUUGAUUUACAAAGAGAAGACGGCUAUUUCAUUGUUGCUUGGGAACAUGGCCAAGGGUCUGCUAUGGGCAACAGCCGAGGACUUGGCAAGUAAUAGAGGACGGGUCCUUUCUCUAUACCGUCAGAUAUUAAGAAGCCUCAAUUCCCCUAAGCUUCCCAUUAACUUAGCAGCAAGAUUGGCUAAGAAAGCAGAGGCUCGUGCUAUUUUCAUGCUGGGCGCAGAAGAGGAAUCCCUGCACAACAUUGAGGACCUUAUUGAUACCGGAGAUACGCUCUUUCCCUCCUGAGAAAAGGUGAAAUCCCUAAAUACAUCCAGUGAGUGCAGCACUGGUUAUUGAACUUCUCAUACUUCGCUAUACAUAGUUUGCUAGUUUCUGAUAGGCUUUUGUUUAUGUCAAAUGGUAUACAAGAAAAACGGAUGGUGAAAUGUAGCUUUUUGCCGAUGACUUCAAAUUAUUUUCUGAUGUUCGUACUUUUUAGCAACAA